GUCGUGCACGCGCCACAGACAGACACGACUGCUCCGAGACUGUCUGGAGUCUGAAACUGAUACAUUUGGAGAUGGGAGUUUUAACCUAUAUACGUUUAUAGGAAAUCAUUAAUUCGAAAUUGGAAUGUACAAAAACGAUAGCGAUUGAAUUACAGUACAGCGCAUGUUAAACAGUUAUUUAAACUCACGCUUUCAAAGUUUUUUCAGUGUUUAUCAUCAGACAAUUCAUUAUGCACAGCCUACUUUGUGAAGAUGCGCAGACUGGGGACGCACCUUUGCUCACGUGGAUGCUGUUAUUAUUAACCCUUCGAUUCCCUAACACGUAAGAAGCGCCUAGCCUAGUCUACCACACCUGUGGAGCACCUUCAGGAUGACAAGGGCCUUUCUGGAAAUUAUCAAUGUGGUAUCAUCUUCGGUCCUGAAAAGAAGCCUAUAAGCCGACGUUUAAGCCUUUGUGGCUUUUCAGUGGAGCAGAGGCCCUUAAGAUACCUUGAACCAGGCCGACAACCUCUGUGUCUGUGUCGAUGGCACUGCGUUCUGUGGCUGAUGUGCUUUGCGCCACAAAGACUUUGCUCCAAGGAUAGGUUUCCCACACUGACGUCGUCGGCCACACACUCUCUGUCGGCCAUGACUCGUAACUAGAGACGAUGAGUGACAGGUCGGUCCCCCGCACAGCACAGGGGGCCUGAGAUCCCCACACUAUUUUCAGAAGCAUUUUGAGGACUGGCCUUUCUCCCAUCACAGCUGUUCUGGGCGUUAUGCUCAAAGACUAGCGGCCAAAGUAUGCCAAUGCAGGUGAAGCAAUCUGAGUAAUGAAAGAAGAAAAUUAGAUAAAUGAACUGUCUGGAAAUUGUGUCAUCCACUGCAUGCACAGUCAGCUGCCUAAUGCUAUAUUUUGGUUUGAAAGAUUUGCUAGCAAUUUUCAGUUGUUGACAGAUUUGUGGAGAGACGGCAUCUAUCCAGAUGAAUAAAUAAAACAUGUUUGCUGCUGAUGUUAUUAACAGUCACCAGCAGUUUUGAGCUGAUAGUCCUGCACAUCCUAAAAAAACAACUAAUUGCAUAAUUGGCAUUAUUCUGUAAUAUGAGUGAACUAAAUAUGGCAAGGAAUUAGAGCUGAUGUGUUUGUUUUUUCAGUCAACAAACUUUGCUUGAAGCGAACUAAAUUAGAAAAGUAGAAGUUUGUUUUCUGUUUUCCUUGGGAAAGCAACAAUGAAUUCAGUAUGUUGGUUUAACAGUGACAAAAUGUUGAUAAGACUCACAAUCCUACGCAGCUGGUUGCCUUUACAGUUCAGUUAACCAUCUCAGCUUGAAGUUAGCUGAACUGGAUCAAGCUUGAGGAGAAUUACAAAUAUGUUGGCUCAAAACCACACCUAUCUCCCAUGUCUUCUAGCAUGCUUUAUUGCAGGUUAACUUGCCAAACUUUCUUUUAUAACCUGUAUUUUUGCAUGGAGUGUAGAUUAAUUGGUUAAUUUAAAACUAUUCUAGACAAACAUAUAUAGCAUACAUUUUCCAAAAUCAAUCUCAUCUGCUCGCUUUACAAAUGCAACAGUAUGGCGUGCUGUGUCGGCAUCGAAUGUGAAGACAAAUUGUUUGUCAUCAGAGGACCUUGAAUAAGCAUGUCAGCUGCAACUUGCUGGUGUGUUUUUAACUGUUUCCAUUCAACAGUCACUAAAGUAAAGGCUUUUUAGGUUUUACACAAGGGACGAGUACCUUAUUUUUUACCUUUGUUGUUUUUAGACAGCUGCAAAUUUACUUGGGUCCUUUCUGGUUAAUAGUUGGAUGUUUUCCACCCACUAUAGAGAUUGCUGUUCCAGUUCAUAUUCUCUACCUUAGCUGUCAUUCACAAUGCAGGUUUCAGGUGAGGUUCAAAUGAUCCAGCCUUUUCCUGACUCUGUGUGGACUUAUCAGUUUAACAAACAUUGUGUUACUUGCAGGCUUAAUGUGGCCUGUAAACCAGGAGUUGUAGACCACUGUUAGGCUGAAAUUAUAGGUACUCAAGAUAAUCCUUAUAUAUUGUUAAAAUAUUGUCUUGAAAAGUUUACUUUUGCACUACUGUAAACCUAUAGUAGAUGACAUUCUAAAGUAGAAUUAUAUUUUAACCAGAAAUUCUAAGCUGUGUGAACAUAUAAUUCAACAUGAGAAUGUAUUUGUCAAAAUUGUGAAACUCAGAGCUGAUUGCAUGUAAUUGUGCAUUUCAAAAACGUUUAUUUUACAGAUUUGUACUCCGAUGAACAUUAUGUAUUGUGUUAGAUAUGAAUCAUAUAAUGACCAUGUAAGUUUUCCAAAAACGUUCAAACGGUAUAAAGCGUUUUUUCUAAUUUCUCUAUAUUGUGAUCAAGGACGAGAUAUAACUGUUCACAAACAUUCCAAAUAAAUGAAUUAUCCGCAGCAGUUUUGGGUGUAUUCUGACAAUGAAACAAUCUGAGACAGGCACAGGCUGGCUCGUUAACAUGAAUUCAUUUGGAUUUAAGGAACACUUGACGUGAGUACAUGUACGUUAUGUGGUAAUGUUAAAAUGUUGCAGCAUGUCUCAAAUUAUAUCCAGUAGCCUACAUUUGAUCUAUAUUUUGGUAUGGUCGAAGUUAUGAGGAAACAAUAUUCAUUAUGUUGUGUAAUGUGAUUAUCUUAAUCAUAAUAAAAAAUAUAUAUGAACUCAA
ensembl:lncRNA